rnacentral:rRNA from 1 species
AACAGAGGGAAGCGAGCCCGCGAGGGGGAGCGAAUCCCAAAAAUAACGUCCCAGUUCGGAUUGUAGUCUGCAACCCGACUACAUGAAGCUGGAAUCGCUAGUAAUCGCGGAUCAGAAUGCCGCGGUGAAUGCGUUCCCGGGUCUUGUACACACCGCCCGUCACACCAUGGGAGUCGGAAAUGCCCGAAGUCUGUGACCCAACCUUAGGGAGGGAGCAGCCGAAGGCAGGUCGGAUGACUGGGGUGAAGUCGUAACAAGGUAAC